rnacentral:rRNA from 1 species
AGCAUAUCAAUAAGCGGAGGAAAAGAAACCAACAGGGAUUGCCUUAGUAACGGCGAGUGAAGCGGCAACAGCUCAAAUUUGAAAUCUGGCUCUUUCAGGGUCCGAGUUGUAAUUUGUAGAAGAUGCUUCGGGUGUGGUACCGGUCUAAGUUCCUUGGAACAGGACGUCAUAGAGGGUGAGAAUCCCGUAUGUGACUGGUCACCUUCGCUCAUGUGAAGCUCUUUCGACGAGUCGAGUUGUUUGGGAAUGCAGCUCAAAAUGGGUGGUAAAUUUCAUCUAAAGCUAAAUAUUGGCCAGAGACCGAUAGCGCACAAGUAGAGUGAUCGAAAGAUGAAAAGCACUUUGGAAAGAGAGUUAAACAGUACGUGAAAUUGUUGAAAGGGAAGCGCUUGCAACCAGACUUGCACGUAGUUAAUCAUCCGGGGUUUUCCCCGGUGCACUUGGCUACGUUCAGGCCAGCAUCGGUUUCGGUGGUUGGAUAAAGGCCUAGGGAAUGUGGCUCCCUUCGGGGAGUGUUAUAGCCCUAGGUGCAAUGCAGCCCACUGGGACCGAGGACCGCGCUUCGGCUAGGAUGCUGGCGUAAUGGUUGUAAGCGACCCGU